AAAAAAGAAAAGGGAACCAGGAUUGCACUGGACAGUGCAUUCAUUAUUGACAGUUAGUGCCCAGGCACCUUGACUUGUGCUGUGCCUUCCUUCAAAAGUGAGUGAAAAAGAUGGGGUGCCUGGGUGGCUCAGUCACUGAAGUGUCGGCUCUUGAUUUCAGCUCAGGCUGUGAUCUCAGGGUGGCAGGAUCAAGCCCUAUGUCAGGCUCUGCCCUGGGCAUGGAGUCUGCUUAAGAUUCUCCCUCUCCCUCUGUCCCUCCCCCCAGCUCUCUCUCUUUCUCCCCCUCUCUAAAACAACAACAAAAAAGUGAGUGAAAAAGAAAUUAUAAUAAUAAACCUUUAUACGGUGUUUAAUGAUUGUCAUGUCUUGUUCUUUAUAUAAUCCCUGUAACAACCUUGUAGAGUGAGUGCUAAUGUUAUAUUCUCAUUUUUGCAGAUGAGAACAGUUAAGGCACAAGAACACAGAGGCAAAGUCUGGUUACAGAGUACUUGGUCAGAGCCACUACACUCUAUUUCCUCAUAACCUGUACUCCCUCUCCACUGUGAGUCUACUGAAGCAGGGUGCAUGUGUCUGUGUGUUGGGUGUCAGAGGGCACUGGCAAGAAGGCAGGGGUACCGAGAAUAAAUGAGCAGCCUCAAAUCCUUUGAGGAAGGAAGCAGAACAUAAAUAACAAAUAAAAUAUGGACUAAAUGAAAUAUUACUUAAGAAAUAUCCCCAGAUACAUUUUUUGAUGAACCUGAAAUCUUUUAGGUGCCUUUGGGGGAGUGUGUCUACCAGUGUCUGCAUCACCUGGAGUCCUGCCACAAAUGCAGAGAGACUUCUCCUAGAAGUGUUAACCAGCUGGACCUCUGUUUAACAACUUCUGUGAAGUAUUGUACUCUGAAAGCCUGCUUGAUGGAUGGAGCUGUCAGCA
rnacentral:lncRNA from 1 species